CUAGCCGUAAACGAUGGAUACUAGGUGUGGGUGUCGCAGGGCAUCCGUGCCGCAGUUAACGCGUUAAGUAUCCCGCCUGGGGACUACGGUCGCAAGACUGAAACUCAAAGGAAUUGACGGGGGCCCGCACAAGCGGUGGAGCACGUGGUUUAAUUCGAUGCAAACCGAAGAACCUUACCUGGGCUUGACAUGCAGAUGGUAUAGAAGUGAAAGCGGAUAGACCUUGCAGUAAUGUAGGGAGUCUGCACAGGUGC
rnacentral:rRNA from 1 species